AUACGGGGGGUGCAAGCGUUGUCCGGAAUCAUUGGGCGUAAAGGGUUCGUAGGUGGAAUUAUAAGUCUGGUGUGAAAGCCCACAGCUCAACUGUGGAACUGCACUGGAUACUGUUUUUCUUGAGUUAUAGAGGGGUUUGUGGAAUUUCUGGUGUAGAGGUGAAAUUUGUAGAGAUCAGAAAGAACACCGGUGGCGAAGGCGACAAACUGGCUAUUAACUGACACUGAGGAACGAAAGCGAGGGGAGCGAACAGGAUUAGAUACCCUAGUAGUCC
rnacentral:rRNA from 1 species